rnacentral:rRNA from 1 species
AGUGAACGCUGGCGGUAGGCCUAACACAUGCAAGUCGAACGGCAGCACAGUAAGAGCUUGCUCUUACGGGUGGCGAGUGGCGGACGGGUGAGGAAUACAUCAGAAUCUACUUUUUCGUGGGGGAUAACGUAGGGAAACUUACGCUAAUACCGCAUACGACCUACGGGUGAAAGCAGGGGAUCUUCGGACCUUGCGCGAUUGAAUGAGCCGAUGUCGGAUUAGCUAGUUGGCGGGGUAAAGGCCCACCAAGGCGACGAUCCGUAGCUGGUCUGAGAGGAUGGUCAGCCACACUGGAACUGAGACACGGUCCAGACUCCUACGGGAGGCAGCAGUGGGGAAUAUUGGACAAUGGGCGCAAGCCUGAUCCAGCCAUACCGCGUGGGUGAAGAAGGCCUUCGGGUUGUAAAGCCCUUUUGUUGGGAAAGAAAAGCAGCAGGUUAAUACCCCGCUGUUCUGACGGUACCCAAAGAAUAAGCACCGGCUAACUUCGUG